AAGUGCGAAUCCCUGACAACUGGCCUCCAUCCCCGUGAUUUUUUUUUUUAGAUUUAAUAGCGUGAGUCAGUGCGUCCGUUGGCAACCCUUCAGCAACGGUCACUCACGAGCCCGUAUCAAUACCAAUAUUUAGGAGUAACACAGUGUCUCCAUAUUCAAGGCUGAACAAUAAUUUGUAUUCACGACUUAAUCAGUACGACUCUUGGUAAAACAACAACUUUCGUGACCGGAAAAUUUCACGUGUGUAAUUUACUAAUUAGAACUACAGUAAUAAAACAUGGCAGAAAUACUUUGCUUUGAGAGGAAAAUAUCUUCCAAACAAACCAUUAAGACCGAAACGGAUAUAUAAAAUAUUGAUACACAACAUCUUUUAGAAAUGCUGAAUGGGUUGAACUGGUUGAGGUUCGUAUCACACGCAAAUUAGCAGCUAAGCUUUUUCGAGACACACUAUAAAACAAACGACAAUCGUUAAAGUAUAGAUGAGUCACACUGACCUUUCGACGAGCGGUCAAAUAGGAAAUGAAAAAUCUAAUGAAACAUCAAACAGAACGCUUCAUAUUACGUUCCUUUAUCUGUCAACAGAGAGUGCUCGAAUCGCAGUGUAAGUGGACAGGGGUACAAAGCCUGAAGGGGAACAGCUGUAGUGGAUCGGUACUUCAGCAUACUGCCAUCCUGCAAGUGUUGCGACUUCAUUACAAUACUAGUAAUGGUAAAGGCGAAAGGUAACGUUAUACCAAGUGUUUAACAAAGAACCUCGCCAUUUAAACGAAUAGUAACUUGCGAGCUCUUGGCGCGGGGGUGAAGAACAAGGUGAUAAGCCUGUAGCGCGCACCUCCACCCGUUCUACCUGGCCGUUCCGUGCACCGACCAGGCCGUGCCGAGCGCAACUAUCCUCAGCACUAGUGAGCUCAGUAUUUCAAAAGGGUUAACAGCAUCUUUGUCACCCCUGACAUCUCAAGAUGAACAUUACGUCUGUUGUC